rnacentral:rRNA from 1 species
CAGUCGCCACGGGAACGCAGAGGGUGCGAGCGUUAAUCGGAUUUACUGGGCGUAAAGCGUGCGUAGGCGGCUUUUUAAGUCGGAUGUGAAAUCCCUGAGCUUAACUUAGGAAUUGCAUUCGAUACUGGGAAGCUAGAGUAUGGGAGAGGAUGGUAGAAUUCCAGGUGUAGCGGUGAAAUGCGUAGAGAUCUGGAGGAAUACCGAUGGCGAAGGCAGCCAUCUGGCCUAAUACUGACGCUGAGGUACGAAAGCAUGGGGAGCAAACAGGAUUAGAUACCCCUGUAGUCCCUGUCUCUUAUAC